GAACUUGGCAGAGAUGCCUUGGUGCCUUCGGGAACGCUGAGACAGGUGCUGCAUGGCUGUCGUCAGCUCGUGUUGUGAAAUGUUGGGUUAAGUCCCGNAACGAGCGCAACCCUUAUCCUUUGUUGCCAGCGAUUCGGUCGGGAACUCAAAGGAGACUGCCGGUGAUAAACCGGUGGAAGGUGGGGAUGACGUCAAGUCAUCAUGGCCCUUACGAGUAGGGCUACACACGUGCUACAAUGGCGCAUACAAAGAGAAGCGACCUCGCGAGAGCAAGCGGACCUCAUAAAGUGCGUCGUAGUCCGGAUCGGAGUCUGCAACUCGACUCCGUGAAGUCGGAAUCGCUAGUAAUCGUGGAUCAGAAUGCCACGGUGAAUACGUUCCCGGGCCUUGUACACACCGCCCGUCACACCAUGGGAGUGGGUUGCAAAAGAAGUAGGUAGCUUAACCUUCGGGAGGGCGCUUACCACUUUGUGAUUCAUGACUGGGGUGAAGUCGUAACAAGGUAGGCGUAGCGAG
rnacentral:rRNA from 1 species